GCCAGGCAUGGUGCUGCGUGCCUAUAGCCCCAGCUAUUCAGAAGGCUGAAAUGGGAGGAUCACUUGAGCCUGGGGUGUGAAGGCUGCAGUGAGCCAAGAUCGCACCACUGCACUCCAGCCUGGGCGAAAAAGCAAGACUCUGUCUCAGAAAAAAUAUAUACAUAUUAAUUUAUUUUAUUUUAUGUAUGUAUUUAUUUAUUGAGACAGGGUCUCGCUCUGUUGCCCAGGCUGGAGUGCAGUGGUGCGAUCUUGGCUCACUGCAGCCUUCACACCCCAGGCUCAAGUGAUCCUCCCAUUUCAG
rnacentral:SRP_RNA from 1 species